rnacentral:sRNA from 1 species
AUAAAUUAAUGGGAAAAUGCGUACCGAGGAAUAUUACCAAAAUUUUGGUUUAUAUUUCCUGGUUUGUUCGUUUAAUUUUCCCGUUAAAUUCGUAUAUAUUCGCAGGGUUAAAUAUUAAUUUAAUUUCCUUUUUUUUUACCCAAGUUUCGUAUUUUUUCAAAUUUUGGAAUUUAUUUAAUACCAUUACCGGAUCCAUAUCGCUCCGUAUUUUACAAAUAAUACAACCGUAUUACCUCCGAACCCAUUUUUCGAAAUUUUUAAUAAUAUUAAAAAAUUUAGGCCCUAAACGGGAUUAUAUAGGGAUAAUAUAAAUUAAACCGCAAAAAGUAUUUUUAAUUAUUAAUAAAUAUUCUGCUCCGUUAUAUUUUUCGGGGUAAUAUAUAUAAUUCCAAAAUAUUUCCCAAAAUAAUCGAUAAAAGCGAUUUUCUGGCGUUCGCCCUAAAAGUACUUUUUUUGCGUAUAUUUGUACGCAAUUUUCACAAAUUAUACGGGUAUUGCUAUUAAUUUCUACCUUUUUUGCGUUUUAUAUCAACCGCCCCAAUAUUUAUUAUUCCAAAUAGCCAAUUUGUAAAUACCAGGUACUUGUUGCUUUAAUUUUUGGUUUAAAAAUUUGUAAUAUUAAUUGGAAACCUUUUUUUUACCGUUUUAUUAUAUUACGUAUAACCGUUAUAACGAUAAUUAUUACUUUAAAAAAAAAUUAAAAUUGGAAAAAUAGGAAAAUUGUACAAUAUUAAUUUAUAUUCGAAAAAUAAUAAGUUUUUUUAUUUUUUUAAUUGUAAAAUUAACGUAGUUGCGUAAAUUGGCCUAUAUUUUAAAAAAAAUCUUAACCGUCAAGUUAUAAUCCGUAUUUGCUAAUUAAUAUUUUGGAUAUUAUAUUAACGUGGAAUUUUGGAAUUAAUGCGAUUUUCCAGAAUUAAAUCCCUGUUGUUAAAUAAAUUAUCAAAGGUUUUGCGGCUAUAUUUUUAAAUUUGCAACGUAAAUAUACCGGUUGCAAUUUAAUUGUUAAUAUUUGUUGGGUAAACCGUUUUUUAUUAAUAAAUAAUAUGAAAUUAACAAUAUAUAUCGCGUUUUUAUUAUCAAUAAUAUUAUUAUCGGCGAAAGGGUGGGUAUUUCCUUUAAUUGCAAAUGCAUUUAUUACCAUUUCCGGUAUUUUGAUUAUAUUAUACGGUAUAACGGUAUAAUUUAUAAAUUUAUUGGGGAUUUGUUCAAAAAAUUUUUAUAUUUUUAAUUUUUUUUUUAUAAAUUAAAAUUCCGGUUGGAAUUUGUUGUAAAAAGUUUUUUGCGUACCAAAUUUUGGCGAUAUUAUUUAUAAUUUUUAAAUUUCAAUAAUUUUCGUAAAAUUAUAUUUUUUUCGUCGGGAUUUAUAUUAAAUUCCUUCGAUUUUUUUAAUUUUUUUAUACCUGUUAAAACCCAAUGGAAUUUAUCGCAAUUUUUGCAUUUUUAUCAACAUUUUUUACCGUCGGCAUUUUUGCAUAAAUAUUAAUAUUUUUAUAAUAAUUUGUUUUGGUUUAAAUUGCUUUCGUUUAAAGUUUUUU